CAGCCGCCGCGGUAAUACCGGCGGCCCGAGUGGCGGUCACUAUUAUUGGGCUUAAAGCGUCCGUAGCCGGGUUGGGAAGUCCUCCGGGAAAUCUGGCCGCUUAACGGUCAGAAUGCCGGAGGAUACUCCCAGCCUAGGGAGCGGGAGAGGCCGAGGGUAUUCCCGGAGGAGGGGGGAAAUCCUAUAAUCCCGGGAGGACCACCUGUGGCGAAGGCGCUCGGCUGGAACGCGUCCGACGGUGAGGGACGAAGGCCAGGGGAGCAAACCGGAUUAGAUACCCGGGUAGUCCUGGCGGUAAACGAUGCGGACUUUGUGUCGGACAAGCUAUGAGCUUGUCCGGUGCCGGAGGGAAACCGUUAAGUCCGCCGCCUGGGGAGUACGGCCGCAAGGCUGAAACUUAAAGGAAUUGGCGGG
rnacentral:rRNA from 1 species